rnacentral:rRNA from 1 species
GUGCCAGCAGCCGCGGUAAUACGUAGGGGGCAAGCGUUGUCCGGAAUCACUGGGCGUAAAGCGCAUGUAGGCGGGAUAUUAAGUCAGGUGUGAAAACUAUGGGCUCAACCUGUAGAUUGCAUCUGAAACUGAUAUUCUUGAGUAUUGGAGAGGAAAGUGGAAUUCCUAGUGUAGCGGUGAAAUGCGUAGAUAUUAGGAGGAACACCAGUGGCGAAGGCGACUUUCUGGCCAAAAACUGACGCUGAGAUGC